rnacentral:rRNA from 1 species
UCGUAACCUGCUAAGCAGAACGACCCGCGAACCAGUUUAAAAAUUGGGAGUGAUCUAGCCUCUUGGCUUGGAUUACCCAUUGCUAGUUGGAAUGUUAUUUGCGUUUGCCCCUUUCUUCUAUGCAAAGUGGUAAGCACGAUGACAUGCCCCCUGGCAAAAAACUAACCCCGGCGCAAAUCGCGUCAAGGAACUCGAACGAAUGAGCGUGCUCUCCUCGGCCCGGAUACGGUGUCCUUGUGAGAGUUACGUCGUCUUCGAUAUGUCAAAAAUGACUCUCGGCAACGGAUAUCUCGGCUCUCGCAUCGAUGAAGAACGUAGCGAAAUGCGAUACUUGGUGUGAAUUGCAGAAUCCCGUGAACCAUCGAGUCUUUGAACGCAAGUUGCGCCCGAAGCCAUCAGGUUGAGGGCACGUCUGCCUGGGCGUCACACACCGUUGCCCUCCCAACAACACGUUCCUUCAAGGCUACGUCGUCGGUUGUGAAGGCGCAUAUUGGCUUCCCGUGAGCUUUGUCUUGUGGUUGGCCAAAAAUCUAGUCAUUGGCUACCCGUGCCACGACAAUGGUGGUUGUCGAACCUUCGGUGCCCUGUCGUGUGUUCGGGCCGUUCGUGAUGCAAGGACCCCAACGCAUCCAAUGCGAUGCCUUCCGAU